GGAGGGCUUCCCCCGGGGGAAGGCUGGUUCGCAGGGCUCCCAAGGAGCUGCUCCCCUCCAAGUGGUCAGGAGACAGGCUCUAAUCAACAGCGGAGUUGGCCACUGGGCGUUUUCUCUGCCAGCAUCUGCCCCUGGCUCCUCUGAGCUCUGACUUCACAGGGGCUGAAGGGUUUUAGGCCCUGGGCAACAGGCUGAUCACUAUUGACUCCUCUUAAUUGCCUUGAACCUACCGGAUCUAGUUUCUGUGUGAUUCUCUCUGGCCUCAGAACCCACCGCUGACCCCACCAACCAUUUCCCAUUCAUCCUGCGUACAGCCCAGCCCUGCAUGCCUGUCACCAAGACACUGACCCCAUCGUCCAGAAUCCUCUCUGCCACUCAGCCAAAUUUGGAUAAGUGCUCAUGUGAUCUACCGUUGAAAUGGGAAAUAAACAUGCAAUAAAUGA